AUAACUGGCACAGACCAGAGACAAGGCCUCACGUCCAGAGGAGAUGGAUUAGAACUGAAUGUGGUCAGUCAUAGAAGGCUUUCUGGAGACUCGGAGCCCUGUUCCCUCCUGGGGUCCAUAAGGAGGUUAGUGGAUGUGAACAAGGGGGCACAUUUGGAACUGAAAACCCCAGGAGGCGCCCAAGGACUGGUACCACCUUGCCAGGCUGCUGGGUUAUCUUCCAGGGAACUAUUGCGCUUGCUGUGUCCCCGAACUCCUGAGCCACCUCGGGCUUUAGUGUGUUUUCACAGCCUCUCUGGUGCUUUGGAGUCCAUCUAAGAAGUGCCAAAGACCUGCAGCCCAUGAUCACCAUCAGCACAGAGCAGCGGGGAAGGGAAAGGCUUUAAUCUAAGCUCUCUGUCACGGAUCUGUUAGCACGGGCAAUAACCGACAGUGAAUCAGGCAGCACUGUACCUGUGAGCCAUCCACCACAAAAGAGAAGUAGCAGCAGGUCCCCACUAGAGGAGGAGAGCAGCCUGGAAAGCUUACCACCACCUCAGGAGGACAUGGUGCUGCACCCCUGCAAUCCCAGCACAUGGGACGUGAAAGCAGGAGGGCCAGGAGUUCAAGGCCAGCCUGGCACAUAAGAGACCCCGUCUUAAAACAAAACAAACCAAACAACAACAACGACAAUAACAAUAAUUUAGCAACUAGGCAGCCCUUGUUCAGGAAGCCCCUGCAAAUGCCACCUCCUGCACAAGAACCUUCCACUUCCACCAGGGGGCGCAGAGGUGGCGUUUGCUGUGUGCUGGGAAGCUACUCCUAGACUGGCUUCUGUGCCAAAUCCUAAGAAGGGUGAGAUAAGGCUGUAGAUUCUGCUCAGUAGUGAAAAGUAGUUACUGUUUUUGCAAAACAAAACAAAACAAAACAAAACAAAAACAAAAACAAAAAAACAAAACAAAAACAAAAAACAAAAACAA
rnacentral:lncRNA from 1 species